UACGAAGGGGGCUAGCGUUGCUCGGAAUCACUGGGCGUAAAGGGUGCGUAGGCGGGUCUUUAAGUCAGGGGUGAAAUCCUGGAGCUCAACUCCAGAACUGCCUUUGAUACUGGAGAUCUUGAGACCGGAAGAGGUAAGUGGAACUGCGAGUGUAGAGGUGAAAUUCGUAGAUAUUCGCAAGAACACCAGUGGCGAAGGCGGCUUACUGGUCCGGUUCUGACGCUGAGGCGCGAAAGCGUGGGGAGCAAACAGG
rnacentral:rRNA from 1 species